rnacentral:lncRNA from 1 species
UGUCUUAAGUAGUGCUCUUUUCCUUCAUAUUAUUAUAAUCGCUCUUGUUUGAGAUUGUAUUAAUAUAAAUGCCAUUAAUGUCCUCGUGUAAGAAUGUCUUGAUUUUUGUGUAUGCCUUUAAAUGAGCUAUUUCUGUCAUUGUUGGUGUAUUUCUCCCAUUGCUUGAUAAUGAUCAGUGGGGGUGAGAGCAUUUCAUAGCAGUGCCUCUUCUGUCCACUAGGGAGCAGUCACACACCCCAGGUCUCUCCUCAUUCUCUUUUUUUUCCUCUCUAGAGAUUUUAUAACUGACGUUGAUCUGGCCAUUAGCAGUCACUCUGGAGUAAACAGUUUAGAGGCAGGUUGUCUGAUCCUACAGGACAAUAUGAUGACUUUAGACAAAACCCUGUUUUUGCACUCUGAAGUCUUACGAUGUGUCCCUUCCUGUCUGUGACCUGUGUGAUCUGAUGUAGAGAUCCUAGUGGCUGACACGGACGGCACAGUGUUCCUAUUGGCUAUCACAGACCCCACAGUGUUCCUAUUGGCUAUCACAGACCACACAGUGUUCUUAUUGGCUAUCACAGACCACACAGUGUUCUUAUUGGCUAUCACAGACCACACAGAGUUUCUAUUGACUAUCACAGACCACACAGUGUUCCUAUUGGCUACCACAGACCACACAGUGUUCUUAUUGGCUAUCGCAGACCACACAGUGUUCCUAUUGGCUACCACAGACCACACAGUGUUCCUAUAGGCUACCACAGACCACUCCUAAAGACAUCUCUCCUAGACAUCUAUCCUAAAGACAUCUCUCCUAGACAACUCUCCUAAAGACAUAUCUCUGGCCACUACUCUCCUAAAGACAGCUCUAGACAAACUCUAAAGACAGGUCUCCUAGCCU